AUUGAACGCUGGCGGCAGGCUUAACACAUGCAAGUCGAGCGGAGAUGAGGUGCUUGCACCUUAUCUUAGCGGCGGACGGGUGAGUAAUGCUUAGGAAUCUGCCUAUUAGUGGGGGACAACAUUCCGAAAGGAAUGCUAAUACCGCAUACGUCCUACGGGAGAAAGCAGGGGAUCUUCGGACCUUGCGCUAAUAGAUGAGACUAAGUCGGAUUAGCUAGUUGGUGGGGGAAAGGCCUACCAAGGCGACGAUCUGUAGCGGGACUGAGAGGAUGAGCCGCCAAAUUGGGACUGAGACACGGACCAGAUCACUACGGGAGGCAGCAGUGGGGAAUAUUGGACAAUGGGGGGAACCCUGAGCCAGCCAUGCCGCGUGUGUGAAGAAGGCCUUAUGGUCGUAAAGCACUUUAAGCGAGGAGGAGGCUACUGAGACUAAUACUCUUGGAUAGUGGACGUUACUCGCAGAAUAAGCACCGGCUAACUCUGUGCCAGCCGCCGCCGUAAGAC
rnacentral:rRNA from 1 species